UACGUAGGGUGCGAGCGUUGUCCGGAAUUAUUGGGCGUAAAGAGCUCGUAGGCGGUUUGUUGCGUCGGCCGUGAAAACCUGCAGCUUAACUGUGGGCCUGCGGCCGAUACGGGCAGACUUGAGUUCGGUAGGGGAGACUGGAAUUCCUGGUGUAGCGGUGAAAUGCGCAGAUAUCAGGAGGAACACCAAUUGCGAAGGCAGCUCGCUGGGACGUUACUGACGCUGAGACGCGAAAGCGUGGGGAGCAAACAGG
rnacentral:rRNA from 1 species